rnacentral:sRNA from 1 species
UUUUUUUAUAUGGAGUUUGACAACAUUCCGCUUGAAAACCUGAACAGAAUACUUAGCUUUAUUCGUGAGUCCAGAGAGAAUGGAAAAAUAGUUUUAAAUGUCAAGUUAUUUUGAAAAAACAAAAAAAAAACAGUUGGGCUGCAAAGGUAAUUGAUAGAAUGUUAAAGUGCAUGCUUUCUUAAUAAAUUCGUGUAUUUAAAUGUAUAAAAGACUAGAAAAUGACGUCGGGUAAAUGCCGCAUACACUAAUGUAGUCGAUUUUUAAAAUUCGUGUCCAGCUUUUGCAGCUUCUGAGAGAAAUGAGGCGGUCGAGGAAAUGUCGCAACGAAUUCAUUGAAUCUCGUGCUGUGGCUCCAUUUUUCUGAAACUAUACGUUUCUAACGUUAAUUUCUCCAAGGCUUCGAUGAAAAAAUUGUUCGAUUAUGUUCCUGUAACGAGCUGCAAUCACGGUAACUGCGCCUCUCUUCGAUAUUUUUCGGAGCUCUGAUGGUCUGUUAAAGUCCCAUUCAAUCAAAUUACUGCCAGGAACGACACUUUGAGGAGGAAUUUCAAACUGAGCACGGAAACCACGUUGCUUAGCAACAAGUGAGAAAGUAAAGCUUCCGAAGGCUAAAGCCCGCUGCUGUCUAGAACAGAGUAUGAUGGCAACUGAUGCGUCUCUCUUGACCCUCUCCUCGCCCAACUCCUGCUCGGGAAGUUUUUUAAACAAAUAAGUUUCUCUGACGCACCAUAUAUAUUAAACUACUUGUGAUGAAAUGUAAAUAGACGUUCUGAAAACCUGAAUGCAAUGGGGAUUGAAAAAAGUUUAUGGUGAUAAUGCUCUCCCGAAAAACUUCAACAGUGAAUAGAAUCUUCCUCAAUGCUUUUUGCCAACACGAUCUUUGGCAUGUACUACGUGCUGUUGGCAAACUCUGUUUAUGUCCGCAAUAGUAGCAUUCUUGUAUUUAGU